rnacentral:rRNA from 1 species
GACGAACGCUGGCGGCGUGCUUAACACAUGCAAGUCGAACGAAGUGGCGAACGGGUGAGUAACGCGUAAUCAACCUGCCCUUCAGCGGGGGACAACAGUUGGAAACGACUGCUCAUACCGUAUACUGAGGGAGGAGAUUGGGUCGGAUUAGCUAGUUGGGGGGGUAACGGCCUACCAAGGCGACGAUCCGUAACUGGUCUGAGAGGAUGAUCAGUCACACUGGAACGGAGACACGGUCCAGACUCCUACGGGAGGCAGCAGUGGGGAAUAUGGGAUAAUGGGCGAAAGCCUGAUGCAGCAAUGCCGCGUGUAUGAAGAAGGCCUUCGGGUUGUAAAGUACUGUCGGCGGGGAGCGUUACCCGAAGAAGAAGCACCGGCUAACUACGUGCCAGCAGCCGCGGUAAUAC